rnacentral:rRNA from 1 species
GUCCACGCCGUAAACGAUGAAUGCUAGCCGUUGGCGAGCUUGCUCGUCAGUGGCGCAGCUAACGCUUUAAGCAUUCCGCCUGGGGAGUACGGUCGCAAGAUUAAAACUCAAAGGAAUUGACGGGGGCCCGCACAAGCGGUGGAGCAUGUGGUUCAAUUCGACGCAACGCGAAGAACCUUACCAGCCCUUGACAUGCCACGACGGUUUCCAGAGAUGGAUUCUUCCCCGCAAGGGGCGUGGACACAGGUGCUGCAUGGCUGUCGU